UGCUGAAGCGAGUGUCGUAGCAAAAUUUCUUACUGCUAGCAGUGCCGAGAGUGCGGCGGGAGCGGCGGGACCCAGGGACGUGCCUGGUGGCAGCAGUCCUGAAUUAACGGCAAGGAACACCAGGUACGAAACCUGCUACACUCGCAGCUUCUGCGCUGAAGCCCAAAGCCCACAGCCUCUCCAAGGAGCGCUGCAGUGCGCUCUG
rnacentral:lncRNA from 1 species